rnacentral:ncRNA from 3 species
AUCGAAGAGGCGCAACUGACAUAAGUAGCAAUUACGAGUUAGGCAAAACGAAGACUAAUUGCGAAAGGGGAGGUUGCCGAAGCUUAAACCAGGCUAAAGGGAUAAGCUGGGUCGUGAUUGAAUAAAUUACGGACUGUCGCGGACAAAAUUCGCGGAGCGCUAUCG